CGCACCUUGCGCCCUUUGGUAUUCCGAAGGGCAUGCCUGUUUGAGUGUCAUUAAAUUCUCAACCUUUGCGAAGCUUGCUUUGCUUAGGCUUGGAUGUGAGGGCUUUGCCGGCUUCCAUUCUGUUGGAUGGUCUGCUCCCUUCAAAUUUAUUAGUGGGAUCUUUUGUGGAUGGUCACUUGGUGUGAUAAUUAUCUACGCCGCCUGACUGAAGCAAGACUUGUGGGAACCCGCUUAUAACCGUCUUCUCGGAGACUAUCUUUGACUAUUUGACCUCAAAUCAGGUAGGACUACCCGCUGAACUUAA
rnacentral:misc_RNA from 1 species